rnacentral:lncRNA from 1 species
ACAUAACAAGAUUCAGUAAUAAAUCUUUUGGAGCAAAAACAUAUAUUUAACAAUUAUCUUUUAAAAAAGGAUUUAAAACCACAAUACUAAACUGACACAGCUUUGCAUUGGAGAAAAAAGAAACGAGAUUCAGAAUUAUAAACUAACAAGUUUCAAAAGUUCAUUCUCAAUCCAAAUGUUAAGAUGCAAAAAAUUCAGGCAAAUUCCAUUCCACCAUCAGCUAUAAAUACUUG